rnacentral:lncRNA from 1 species
UAAGUCUUGGAAUUCAGCAGGCUUUCAGUAAAAUUCAGAAAUACUUAUUCUUUCAUGUCACCCCUCACAGAUUAUACCUAAAUCCCACUGGAGAAUUCUGAUUAUACUUCAAGAGAGCCCUUGGACUUUUUUUAGGGUGGACUUAACCUGUAACAGGAUGCUGUAAAAGGACAGCGUUCCCAUAGUGAUGAGGAUGAUAUCAUCAAGACUGGUUCCAGCAGUGAGUACCAACCCAUUGCUCACCACAGGAAUGGAUGGGAUAAGAGAUAACAGCAUUUUCUGUUCAAAUACCGAGAACUCAAAGAUUAGCCAGGCUAACAAGCCAGGAAUUUUCACUAAACGCUUAAGCAAAACCACUCAGAUGAAUAAACCUCAAAGACUUAAGUCAAAGAGCCUCAUUAGGAGAUGAAUAGCAAAUGCUGUGUUCCAAAGGUUAAACACAUUUAAGCCAAGAGGAAGCAACAAGGCAUAAAGCGAGCAGAGUAUGGUUUGCUACUCAGAUGUGAUGCAGAGUCCAGUGCCACAGCCUCCACUGAGGGGGCUGCAUUCACACAAUGUUGGGACCUAGAGACACACUUAAAAGGCCAAUUGUGGGACGUUCCUAAUGGUCCAGUGGUUAAGAAACCACCUGUUAAUGCCUGGUCUGGGAAGAUCCCAUGUGCUACAGGGCAACUUGUACCUCAACUUCUGAAGCCUGCACACCCUAGACUUCAUGCUCUGCAACAAGAGAAGCCAUUGCAAUGAGAAGCCUGUGUCCCACACCUGCAGAGUACCCUCGUCUCCCUACAACAAGACCCAGCACAGCUAAAAGAGAAGCCAAUUGCUGUUGUUGUUUUUAAUUUCAAAUGCCAAUGCAAGUCCUUUCAUUUUUUCAGUGAAACCAUUUGGAAUUUAGGCUAACUGACUGUGAAUUUAUAGUAUCAUACCAUUUUAAGGUGGUCUUGCCAUUGCUAUGUUCAAAUGAAAUAAUGGAUAGACCUUGAGUAGAGUGGGAGAUGAGGACAAUCACUUUCCUUGUUCUCAGUCCUGACUUCUGCAUUCCCAGUACUCAAGGUACAAUUCUUUAGGCUUCAAUUUAUAGGAUACUUUGAUGAGCUGAGAGGGUUUAAGGAAGACACUCAAAAAUGCAUCAGUUCAGUUCAGUCGCUCAGUCGUGUCUGACUCUUUGCGACUCCAUGAAUUGCAGCACGCCAGGCCUCCCUGUCCAUCACCAACUCCCAGAGUUCACUCAAAC